UCCUGUGCUAACCCGAGAGAUCGGGCGUCCACUUCGGUGGCGCAGUGACAGGUGCUGCAUGGCUGUCGUCAGCUCGUGUCGUGAGAUGUUCGGUUAAGUCCGGCAACGAGCGCAACCCACAUCCUUAGUUGCCAGCAGUUCGGCUGGGCACUCUAAGGAAACUGCCCGUGAUAAGCGGGAGGAAGGUGUGGAUGACGUCAAGUCCUCAUGGCCCUUACGGGUUGGGCUACACACGUGCUACAAUGGCAGUGACAAUGGGUUAAUCCCAAAAAGCUGUCUCAGUUCGGAUUGGGGUCUGCAACUCGACCCCAUGAAGUCGGAAUCGCUAGUAAUCGCGUAACAGCAUGACGCGGUGAAUACGUUCCCGGGCCUUGUACACACCGCCCGUCACACCAUGGGAGUUGGUUCUACCCGACGGCCGUGCGCUAACCUUUUGGAGGCAGCGGACCACGGUAGGAUCAGCGACUGGGGUGAAGUCGUAACAAGGUAGCCGUAGGGGAACCUGCGGCUGGAUCACCUCCUUUCUAA
rnacentral:rRNA from 1 species